rnacentral:rRNA from 1 species
GACGAACGCUGGCGGCGUGCCUAAUACAUGCAAGUAGAACGCUGAAGAGAGGAGCUUGCUCUUCUUGGAUGAGUUGCGAACGGGUGAGUAACGCGUAGGUAACCUGCCUUGUAGCGGGGGAUAACUAUUGGAAACGAUAGCUAAUACCGCAUAACAAUGGAUGACACAUGUCAUUUAUUUGAAAGGGGCAAUUGCUCCACUACAAGAUGGACCUGCGUUGUAUUAGCUAGUAGGUGAGGUAAUGGCUCACCUAGGCGACGAUACAUAGCCGACCUGAGAGGGGGAUCGGCCACACUGGGACUGAGACACGGCCCAGACUCCUACGGGAGGCAGCAGGAGGGAAUCUUCGGCAAUGGGGGCAACCCUGACCGAGCAACGCCGCGUGAGUGAAGAAGGUUGUCGGAUCGUAAAGCUCUGUUGUAAGUCAAGAACGGGUGUGAGAGUGGAAAGUUCACACUGUGACGGUAGCUUACCAGAAAGGGACGGCUAACUACGUG